rfam:Hordeum vulgare subsp. vulgare, WGS project CAJW01000000 data, contig: morex_contig_57640
AAAUUAGUCCCUCCGUCUGAAAAUACUCGUGGGAGAAAUGUAUGUAUCUAGAUGCAUUUGAGUUCUAGAUACAUCCAUUCUUUUCCAUUUCUACCACAAGUAAUUCUCGAUGGAGGGAGUAGAAU